rnacentral:misc_RNA from 1 species
GGUUGCUGAUGAGGAGCAGAAGAAAAUAAAGAAGGAUUCGCUAAAGAAGAAAAGCACUAGUACUACAAAGGAUGCUGUAACCAAGGUUCCAAGCAAGAAAAAGAAUAAUGGUUCAGAUGAGGAUCAUUCUCCAACUCGCAGUCAUGCCGGUGAUAAUGACCAAGCAGAUGAUGACGAUGAUGACGAUGAAGAGUCUGAGAAAUCCUAAUCUGAAGUGAGUGACAAUGAGAAUAGUGCAGAGGUAAUUAUAAUCCUUUGGAACAUAUGUUGGUGUUUUCCUUUGGUUAUAUCGAAAAUUCUUAAAAAGGACGCAGGCUGUCAGGAUUUCGAUCUCUGGUUUCGUGCAUUACGAGGCAUUAGCAUUUCAAUAUAUGAUUCCCUUAGAUUUAUCCCCAAACUCUUGCCUUAUUUUCUGCUACCUUUUCAUAUUCCAUAUAUCAUUUCUACUUCUUCUCUGUUCUAGAAAGUAUGAAUCUAUCACUUAGUCUAUUUUAAUUUAAUGACGAGAAACAUAUUACUCGUUAUCAAAUAUUAAAUUUCAGAAUAAGUAAAUGGGAGAUUUUCUUCCACUCUAUAUUUUAACAGCAAUGAGAUGUGUAAAAUUUAGAAUAAUACAAAAAAGAAAGAAAAAAUAAUUUAUAUAUAAAGUUCAAUUGGAUAGUUUAUAUUACAUAGAUAAUUUUAAAUAAUUACAGUCUCAUUGGAUG